rnacentral:lncRNA from 1 species
UUAGUUGCUUAUUUCAAUGUGCAUAUUUACUGGAGCCUUUGGAAGCGGGGUAAUCUUGGUAGGUGCCUCAGCCAUCCUGGACUCACCUCUGUCUCCUCCAGAGACUGCGGGCACUCAUCCAGACAUGGACUGUUUUCAAGGACAUCUCUUCCUGCAGGGAAGGACGCAACAUCAUCCUGUGGUUCAGAGAGACAAGGAAGAAACAACAGUCUCUUGUUUUCCUUCAGAACCUACGUGAAUAGCAAUACAAUCACUUCUAAAGCUAGUUCCCUCUCCAAAUCGGAUUCUAUAGCUCUUCACCAAAGAGAACAUAUGGAACUGCUCAGAGCUAAAAAAUUAGCCAAGUCGCUGGCUAUUCUCUUGGGUGUUUUUGCCAUUUGCUGGGCUCCAUAUUCUCUGUCCACAGUUGUUCUUUCAAUUUACAAACCAGAGCAGCGUUUGAAAUCGGAUUGGUACAGAAUUGCAUUUUGGCUGCAGUGGUUCAACUCCUUUGUCAAUCCCUUUUUGUAUCCAUUGUGUCACAGGCGUUUUCAGAAGGCUUUCUUAAAAAUAUUUUGUAUGAAAAAGCAACGAAUACCAUCACACAAUCGGUCAACAUCCUCUUGAUGAUAAUGUUCUCACUUCUGUAAAUUUUAGUCUUCAUCUCACCAAGGUGAAUUUCAUCUGGUUUUCAUCUUGCCCAUUCCACUCUACCCGCCCCCCCAAAAAAGUCCAUAAAACCACAACAAUUGAAAACUUAAAAAAAAAAAAAAUCUGCACUUGGACGCCAAUGGAACAUUAUCCCAGUAAAUAACAGUCUAAUGAUGAAUUGAUAACAUAUUUUUGUAAACUCAUAGCCACAAAAUACUAUUU